AAUAAGUGCAGUUUUGCACUAUUCACGUUCAACGUUUGACCGUUCGUUUUAUUUGAAAAGUUUUUAUGAUUAGUAUUUUUAUUGCUAAUAGAUGAUAAAACAUGAAUAGUACUUUAUGUGUAAUUAAAUAUUUUUAAAUUUUUCACAAAAUUUUCAAAUAAGACGGACGGUCAAACGUUGGGUAUCCACGGCUGCACUUAUU
rfam:Oryza rufipogon genomic scaffold, chr09